rfam:Schistosoma haematobium scaffold1259_9, whole genome shotgun sequence.
GCGUCGGUGGUUCAAUGGUAGAAUCCUCGCCUCCCACGCGAACGGUCCGGGUUCGGUUCCCGGCCGACGUA